UAUAAAAAUUUGUAAAAAAGAUACAACCAUUAACUUAAGAGAAUCCAAAUGUAUUUCUAAAUUAGUUGAGGGCAAAGAAUCGCUGUGUGAUUUCAGUAAUGCAGACCAUAUCCCGGAAAUCGAAGAGAUUGACAACAGCUUAAUCCUACUUAACAACUUUAACGCCAGUCUAAUACAGAAUAAUAUAACCCAUCAUCUGAAAGGAACAUACUAUCUCGUACACUAUUGGAAUGAGAACAUAACCGUAAAUAAUAAAGAAUUCAGCAACAAGGAGAAAACUAUUUUGAAACCCGGAGCACCACUCAUCCAAAUGACCCCAAUAGAAUUGGAGCGUCUUCAAAUAUUAUCAUUGGAAUCCCUACACGCAUUCAACAUAAAAAAUAGGAAACAAUUAGACCAAAUAAAUACAGAUUCCUCCUCGAACCGAAUAGCUAUAAUUUUUCUAUCGGCCAUUAUUAUAGCAAUAGUUGUAAUACAAAAAUUUUGUAUAAAGCCAAAGGAAAACCUAAUCCUACAAAUUGGAAAAGUUCCGACAGAAAUCAUGAGUGAAACGAACAAUUUUCCUAGAUCAGUCCAACCACAAUUUAAUAACAUACCAUACUUUUAAAGCUACUUGAGGACAAGUAGGAAUUUGAGGAGGGAGAGUUAAUACAACAAAUAUUUAUUUCAACAAUAUUCAUUGCUACAAUGUAAUUGUUAAAGUUCAAUAACUUAAAAGUUGACACAACAAAUACAUAUUUAUUUCAACAUAACAACAAUCAUUGCAACAAUGUUGUUGUUAAAGUUGAAUAACAUAAACAAACAUCCGCUGCAACUCCCAAAAGGGAUCGACAUUAUUGCUGAUCAAUAAAUAAUAAUAUCAACAACAAUAAUCAACUUCAAUUCUGCUGACCAUUCAACAUCCGUUAAACUCUGCCGACGCCGCUGCCGUUGAACCACAGCUAGCUUAGGGUAUUUUUAAGAUUCUAUGUAUCAGUUUCUUUUGGAAAUUCAAUAAAGAAGAACUUAACUUACAUAAGUAUGUAGAUGCA